CGGGGCGUAGCGCAGCCCGGUAGCGCGCCUGCUUUGGGAGCAGGAUGUCGGAGGUUCGAAUCCUCUCGCCCCGACCA
rnacentral:tRNA from 2 species